ACCACUAAAAACCUGAUUAUAAAAUUUUUUUAUUCAAGACGACUUGAGGUCACUUUCCGGCAUUGACUGGUCUUUUCCGACGUUGACCUCCCAUGUGCAGGUCACGUGACUUUAAUUUUUACUAAUCCCACCCUUUUCUUCUAAUUUCCCCUCCCUAAUUUCCCUCUUAACUCGUUUCCCCCCUUUUCCUUUUAAUCUCCCCCCAUCUUCUCUCUCCUCUCUUCAAAAACGAGGUAAUUAAUCUGCUUCAACUAGAUCUCUACCAUGGUGUCACCUCUGGUUUGCAAGAUUAAUCAAUGAAGAAGCAAAUUGAAUUAAAUUGACACCCACCCUAAGCAAACGCGAAGAAGGAGGCGAGGAAGGUAGUUGCGUCUUGUUCGAAUUGAAGAAGCUAAGGGGGACCAAUUACAGAGUGACAUAUAAACCCAAAUAUGUUUUUUUUCUCAAUUUUUUUGGAAAUGCGCAAAUCUGAUUAAAAAAUUGUUUAUGUUAGGAUUUGUUGAUUAAUUAAUUGAAGUAAAAUAUUGUCUUUUUGGGAACCAUAAACUCAGAAAAUUUGUGUGUUUUGUUUGGUGUGUUAAGUAUAUAAUAAUUCCUUUUUUACAUGUGUUGUUGUUGAAUCUGAAUUUAGUAUUGGUAUGUUGUUAAUUGAAUCAGGUUUAAUAUAGAGAUAACGUGUUUAAUCCUUGGUAUAAAUUAAUGGAGGCCAUUAAUAUUAGUUGUACUACGGUGGGGAUUUUGUAACAAAGAACAAACACACUUCAUAUGAAAGGGGAACUCUGAUUAUUAUGGGGUUUCACUUCAUCCAAAUUAAAUGUAGAUAAGUGUGCUAUUUUGAGUUUGCCUACUGGAUACAAAAUGAGUUAUGGUAUGAUGAAGUGGGAGAAAUAUGGUUUAGGAAGCAUGGGUGUAGUCUGUUCAAUGGGAGGAAGCAGAUAAAGAGUGAUGUGGAGAUUACCGAGUUUCUACAGUCACCAGAAAAGGAUGGGUGGUACCACCUAUACUUGGUCUAAAAAGAAUAAGAGGCUUAUAACACAUUAGCUUAUGGACCAGGGGGGUGUAUACAGAUUCUGAAACUGAUAUUAGAUAAUCUAGUGACUUGGCUGAGAGUGGGAUCAAGGGUGGUGAGUCAGCUAGCACUUCAAAUAUGGCCCAUAAAAGCCCUAGGUCUGAAGAAAACACCCUUAUAAUUGUCUCAAGUGAUCCAUCAAACACAGCCUCCCUCACCAACUUCCCACCUAACUUUCAAGCAUUCAACCCUCAAACACAAAUUCACUCUCAAAACAGACCUCUUUCAUAAGCAACAACUGCUCUGUUAUAGGGGGUGUAAGGCAGAAGCUGCCAAUAGUUCCUACCCAAAAAAAACUUUACAGCAAAAAGAGGUUGAGGAAAUAGAAAAUAAGAGUGCAAGAGGUGUAGUGCAACCUGUAGAGGAGAAUCAGCAAGUCCAUGAGAUUGCUGAACAUGUUGAGAAACCUGUAAAGGAAGAUGAGUUAGUGGAUGGAGAGGAUAGAUUUGAGAGUGAGGAUGAUCUUUAUUUAACUGAUGAGGAUUAUGAUGAUAAAGAUGAUGAUGAUUUGUUCCAGAAGUAUGUUGACCUUGACAUAACAGAGAGAGUGACUAGGAGCUUAGGUGUUCUGACUGUACAUCAUGAUAAUGAGGCAGAUGAUGAGGAUGGUAAUGCAAAUGGUAUAGAGUUGGAAGAUGAUGUGGUGUUGGAUGGUAGUGAUGAUGAGGUGGUAAGCUUGAUAGGAUCAGAUGAUGAGGGUCCUGACUAUCCAGUGUUUAAUCCAGAAAUUGAUUUUAGGGAAGGAUCGUUCUGAGUAAAGGCUUGAAGUUCCCGUCCAAUUCAAUAUUUAGGAAAGCUCUUAGACACCAUGCAAUUGAAAAUGGAUAUGACUAUUAUAAUUUGCAUAAUAAUAGGAGUAGGGUCACUAUGUUUUGUGCAAAAAGAUGUAGUUGUCCUUGGAAAAGGACUAGGAUUUUAGAGUGUAAGUGUAAAGAUAUGAGGAAGUGCAGAUUCAAGGUGUAUUGUUGUAAGUUGAAAGAUGAGGGGACAUGGCAGUUUAAGAGUCUAAGAUUGAGGCACAUAUGCAGCCAUCAAAUUCAUAAUACCAAGCUAUCAUCACAGUAGCUGGCUGAAAGAUAUGUUGAGGAUUGGAGGGAUGAUCCUUCCAUGAAACUUUAAGCUUUUAUCAAGAGAGCAAGAAGAGAGAUUGGGGUUGAAAUAGUGUACUACAUGGCAUUUAUACUAGAGCUAAGGUAUUCAAGAUGAUACUUGGAGAUGCAAACUUAGAAUACAGUAAAGUAUGGGAUUAUGCAGCAACAAUCAUAAAGUAUAACCUAGGCUCUACGACAAAGGUGAAGGUGACAGGGAUUGAGAAUCCACCACCUCUUUUUCAAAGGUUGUACAUAUGCUUACAGGCAUGCAAGGAGAGUUUCAUGGCAGGGUGCAGACCUAUUCUUGGUGUAGAUGGAGCACACUUAAGAGGACCCUACCCUGGUAUCUUACUGACAGCAAUAGGAAAAAAUGGAAACCAGAACAUGGGUAAUAGUGGAGACUGUAAACUCAGAGACCUGGACCUGGUUCUUAGGCUUGUUGAAAGAAGACCUUGCUUCAGUUGCAGAUUCAAUUACAUGGGUACAUGAGAAAGAGGAUCUGACUUACAUGUCAGAUAGGCAAAAGGGUUUGAUUGAUGCAUUCAAGACAAUUAUGCUCAAUGUAGACACAAGAUACUGUUGCAGACACAUUUGGACCAACUUUAAAUGCAAAUUUCCAGGUGUGGUGUACAAAGAAUAUUUCGGGAAGGCUGCAAGCAUUAUUUCAACACACAUAUGACAGCAAUCAGGAAUUGAAUGAGGAUGCCUUUAAGGGCUUAACUGAAAUCCCAGCACAACACUGGUCCAAAUAUGCUUUUACUUCUGCAAGUAAAUCUGGUAUGCUCCUUAAUAAUUGUUGUGAGAGUUUUUUCAAUUGCAAGUAAAGGGGAAGGGUGAUGUUUCUGAUGGUGCUCCAAGACAGAAAAAAUCAGUUGCAACAAAACCUGGAUAAAGGAAGAAGAAAGAUGCAACUCAGUCUUAGCAUAUUCAAGCAUCACAGACUUCAACAUCUGCAAUUGGACAUCCACCCCUAACACAGUCUCAAGAACAACCUACUCAAAUUAGCAAUCCACGAUUUGAAGGCCACUUACUCUGUAUUUUGCUAAAUAAAUUUGUUUAAGUCUGUUUGUUGUUGAACUAAGUACUUUUGUGAACUAAGUCCUUGUUUGUAAGGCAAUGCUUAUAUUUAGCACUUAUAAUGUAGUGCUUAUUUUCUGUGA